rnacentral:lncRNA from 1 species
GCUAUUAGAGUGAUUAGGUCCAUUUUUCAGCCCUAAGGAAUAACGGUAUUAAGGAAUCUUGUUGAGCCAGACACAUAGGCAGGGACAAUUACAUUUUCCCAGAGGCAUAUUUGAUUUUAAUUUUCACCCAGAUAGAACUCAGUGUUUAACUUCUGAUGUUCUUUCAGCUACUGGAGGAGUUCUCCAAGAUCACAGAGGGAAAACACACCUUUCUAUGGUACCUCUUAUCAUCAACCAGCUUCUCUUUGUAGAGAAGUAUUCAACUGAUUUUGGUUGUACUUGGAGGUAGACCAGCAGCAAAGUUGUUCAAUUAUGUUCAGAACAGAUAUUUUUCAUCCUACCAAGAGCUACUAUCUUAGUGAGUUUAGGCUGCUAUUAACAAAGAACAAUGGAAAUUUAUUUCUCAUAAUUCUGGAGGCUGGAAGUCUAGGAUCAGGUGCUAGCCUGGCAGGUUUUGGUAAGAGACUUUUUCUGGCUUACAGAUUGCUGUCUUCUCAUUGUAUCCUCACAUGCCAGGGAAAAAACAAACAAACAAACAAAAAACACCUGCCAAAGGCUCUGCCUCUUGGCACCCUCGUGUUGGGGAUUAGGAUUCUGAUAUGUAAAAUCUGGGUUUAUGCAAACAUUCAGUCCUUCGUAGCUGUAUUGGUACUAAUGAAUGCCUAUGACCCCACUAUAGUACUAGUUUCACAUACAGGCAAAUGGUUUGCUUGAAGAUUUAGUGGGAUAGGAAAGAAAAAGAAGGUUGAUAGGAAAUUAAAGCAAAAAGUAAAAGUAGAAACACUCACAUGAGAACUGACUUAAAGUUUCUCUCAACCCCCAAGUGAAGUCUCCUUUUACAUGGAGGCUAUGCAAUGGCUUGUAAGUCACUUCCCAGUCACUGACUUCAUUUACUAAGAUAGUUAAGAAUACUGUUUAGCUGGUAUUCACUCACUUUGCUUCCUCUGUGGGACAGGAUACACUUCCCUGACCUACUGACAUUAGGUUUGGCCUUGUAAGUUGCUUUGGCAUUGGAAGUGAGAAGCUAUAAAUGCAUUUGUGUAACUUGGCUUGAGCUUUGUACACUGGUGAUCUUCCUGAGAAGAGCAUCCCCAGAUAGCUGUUCCUGCUUCAUCCUGGACCACAGAACAAACAUCAAUGGAGCAGACCUGAACUUUGUCCAAAGCCCAGAACCAAGUCCAGCCAUCUUGCAUCCUGAGGAAAUUCCCAGCCAAACCAGCCCAGAUUAACCAAGCCAUAUUAUCUGCAGAUCCAUGAGUGUUUUCUAUGUGUGUUUUUAGCCAUUGUGAUUUUCUGGUUUAAACCCUAAAGGGGAUACCAUUGAGCAAGACAUGUCAUUUAGUUGAAAAAGAACAGGGCUGUCAUGUUGAAAUGUUUGUGUCCCUUGAAAUUCAUUUGGUGAAAUUCUUACCUCCAAGGUGAUGAUGUUCAGAUGUGAGGCUUUGGGGAGAUAGUUUGGUCUUGAGAAUGGGACCCUCAUAAAUGGAAUUAGUGCCCUCAUAAAAUAGGUCCAAGGUAGCUCAUUUUCCCCUCUUACAAUGUGAAAAACACAGAAGAUACCAACUAUGAACCAAGAAAUGGGCCAUGACCAGAUACUGAAUCUACUGACACUUUGAUCUUAGAUUUCCCAGGCUCCAGAACUUGAGAAUGAAAUUCCCAUUGUUUAUAAGAUUUAUAAUUUAAGGCAUUUUUGGUAUAGCAGCCCUAAAAUGCUAAUAUGAUCUCACUUUAUAUAUUUAUAUAUUUUAUUUCAUAAAAGAUAUAUAUAUAUCUUUUAUGAAAUAAACAUACAAAAAAUACAUUGAAUUUAAAAAUAAGGUCAUUCAAAAUUAAUAGUCACGUCAUUUUCAAAUAUUCUGACUACAGUUUCCCAGACAGAAAUGUUCUUAAGUGGGAUUGCCUGAGGAGGAAGGCUGCAACAUGCUAUUAUUUGGGAACAAUUCUCCACUGGGCCCAUCCAUCCACAUUUACUACUUUUAGUGUUUAUAUAGUCAUCUAGAAAUGAUGUGGUAGGUUUUAGGUAAUUCUCUUAAGAAUUUAACAUUAGAAAGAUACCAUUUAACAUUGUGCAUCCAAUUUACAUAAUAAAUCCAUAGUCAUUGUAGCAAAACUAAAGAACACAGAAAGCAAGCAGGUAACAGACUCCAGAAAUGCACCACCUAGAGAUGA